AAUGAACGUUGGCGGCGUGGAUUAGGCAUGCAAGUCGUGCGGAAAGGCUCCUUCGGGAGUACUCGAGCGGCGUAAGGGAGAGUAACGCGUGGAUAUCUACCCCCUGGACUGGGAUAGCGGCGGGAAACUGCCGGUAAUACCAGAUAAUGUCUGCGGACCAAAGGUGUGAUUCCGCCGGGGGAUGAGUUCGCGUCCUAUUAGCUAGUUGGUAGGGUAAUGGGCUACCAAGGCAAAGAUGGGUACCGGGUGUGAGAGCAUGGCCCGGCUCACUGGGACUGAGACACUGCCCAGAAACCUACGGGUGGCUGCAGUCGAGAAUCUUCGGCAAUGGGCGCAAGUCUGACCGAGCGACGCCGCGUGCGGGAUGAAGGCCUUCGGGUUGUAAACCGCUGUCAGAGGGGAGGAAAUGCGUGAGAGUUCUCUCUCACGUUUGACCUAUCCUCAGAGGAAGUACGGGCUAAGUUCGUGCCAGCCGCCGCAGUAACAC
rnacentral:rRNA from 1 species